CACGUAGGAGGCAAACGUUAUCCGGAUUUACUGGGCGUAAAGCGCGUGUAGGUGGUUCUGUAAGUAGGGCGUGAAAGCUCCCGGCUCAACUGGGAGAGUCCGUUCUAAACUGCAGAGCUAGAGGAUGGUAGAGGGAGGUGGAAUUCCAGGUGUAGCGGUGGAAUGCGCAGAUAUCUGGAGGAACACCAGUGGCGAAGGCGGCCUCCUGGACCAUUCCUGACACUCAGACGCGAAAGCUAGGGUAGCAAACGGGAUUAGAUACCCGUGUAGUCCCU
rnacentral:rRNA from 1 species